rnacentral:rRNA from 1 species
UACAGAGGUCUCAAGCGUUGUUCGGAUUCAUUGGGCGUAAAGGGUGCGUAGGCGGCGCGGUAAGUCGGGUGUGAAAUCUCGGAGCUUAACUCCGAAACUGCAUUCGAUACUGCCGUGCUUGAGGACUGGAGAGGAGACUGGAACUCCUGGUGUAGCGGUGAAAUGCGCAGAUAUCAGGAGGAACACCGGUGGCGAAGGCGGGUCUCUGGUACGUGACUGACGCUGAGACGCGAAAGCGUGGGGAGCAAACGGG